AAUUACAACUUUUGGCCCAAAGAUUUGAAUAAUUAAAUUCAAACCUAUAGUUUUUUUUAAUAUAAUUUUGGGACUCACAAUCCCAUUUUUAUAUUAUUUUUCUCUCUUCCUCUCACGUUGCUCGGCGUUUUCUCACAAGGGGGGAUUAUUUUCUUUUUCUUCAGAUUAUAUUGACAAAGAUAGUGGUGAAAAAGGAGUUGUGAAGGGGAACUUGUUAUUCAAGACACAAGGAGCGAGUCCGGCCGAGAAAGCACCAGAGGUGUAACUGUGGUGUAUGAGACACCAUCUUUUACGUUGCCUCUUAUUUUAGAUUAUACAAUGUAUCUUGUGCCAACUUAGGACAUAUCUUCUUUGUGAAGCAUGUAAACUCUAAUCCUUUUUAUUAAAAGUA